rnacentral:lncRNA from 1 species
CUGAGAGUUUCAGGAUGGGCAGCGCAGCAUCGGUCAGCGAGGACGUCCAGUCAGAGAAACUGGUCGAAUCUGCAGCUCUCCAGUCCUCCACUGUGGCAGGACGGAGCGAUGAUGAGCAGCAGGCAGACGUGUCAGAGAGCUCUGAGAAGAAUACUGAGGACAUCCAGUCCCUGAAGAGCCAUGACAUCAACUCACAGAGCAAAGAUGAAGACAGAGCAGCGACAACAGCAGCACCAGUUAGUAAUCCUCGCCCCACUGUGAGCAUGUAUUAAGUAUUCAUGUAGAAGCACAAGAAUAUAUGAGAUCCACGUUUGAGGGUUUUAAUUUAAAAAAAUACGUACAUUUCUAUACAUGUCCUGUUCUCCUUUUUUCUUCAGGCCAACAAUUAAGCAUCACACAGGAGGGAGUGCUGUUGUGCUGAUAUUCAGCACAACAGCACAACCUUUGAGUGUGAAAUUGCUUUUAUACAGCAGUUCUACGAGC